CUGCUCUAAUGCAACGUUAUCAGCUGCUACAUCAUGAUACUGAGAGAGAGAUUUUUCUGCAUCCUUCCUGAGAUACAGCAUGAAAACCUCUUCUGUGUCAUUUCCCCAACUUGUUUUUCUACAAUGUAAGCUCACACUCAGAUGUGGCAGGAUAGCAGUGGAUUCAGGUUCCUCGCCAUGAACUGCCUCCUGCUAUCGGAGGAUCUGUCAGAGGAACACAGUGUGAAGGUUGAGCUCUCUGGCACAGCAAGCCCUCGCUGCUUGGUUUUCACACCAGGAGGCUGAAAGUGGUCAAAUUGUCAUCAGGUUCGAGGGGGAAAAAACAAUUUAUAAAAAGG